AUUGAACGCUGGCGGCAGGCCUAACACAUGCAAGUCGAGCGGAUGAAGGGAGCUUGCUCCUGGAUUCAGCGGCGGACGGGUGAGUAAUGCCUAGGAAUCUGCCUGGUAGUGGGGGUUAACUUCGGGAAACGGCGGCUAUUCCCCCUUCCUUCCUGAGGAGGAAGGGGGGGGUUUUUCGGACCUCCGCCUUUCGGUUGACCCUAGGUCGGAUUAGCUAGUUGGUGGGGUAAAGGCCUACCAAGGCGACGAUCCGUAACUGGUCUGAGAGGAUGAUCAGUCACACUGGAACUGAGACACGGUCCAGACUCCUACGGGAGGCAGCAGUGGGGAAUAUUGGACAAUGGGCGAAAGCCUGAUCCAGCCAUGCCGCGUGUGUGAAGAAGGUCUUCGGAUUGUAAAGCACUUUAAGUUGGGAGGAAGGGCAGUAAGUUAAUACCUUGCUGUUUUGACGUUACCAACAGAAUAAGCACCGGCUAACUUCGUG
rnacentral:rRNA from 1 species